GGAAGGGCCCUGGCUCAGUGGCAGAGCAUCAGCUUUGCAUGCAGAAGGUCCCAGGUUUAAUUCCUGGCACCUCCA